rfam:Gossypium raimondii Chr05_contig_1085, whole genome shotgun sequence.
AUCUGCCUGGCUCCCUGGAUGCCAACUAAGGAUGGUGUUGAUAAAGAAUUGGCCCUUCCUAGUUGGCAUCAGAGGAGUCAAGCAGGU